CAGACUCUAUAGGUGAUGUACUCAAGACAUGUGGACACGUGGCUGCUUGGGGAAGUGAUGCAAGGACCAUUUCUUGAUGAUGCAGGUGCACUGGGCCUCCAGGGAAAAAAGCUACUGAUAUCUCAAGACAGUGUUUUACAUGGAG